AGCAAUGCCGCCCCUCUGGGCGUGGUCACCACUGCCCAUCGUCGCGACACAACAAGCGCCCUAGCCACACCAUCCACGCGCACCGCCGCUCGAGCACGCCACCGUGUCCCUGUUCGCCUCGCCGCGCGAGCCCGGCCCCAUCACGCCACGCACGCAGAGCGCCACCUCGCUACGCCACCAACCUGUGCGCUUCCUGUGUGCUCGAGCAUCCCGCUGCCAUUAACUCCGCCGUUCCUGCGCAACGCCCGUCGGCAGCCCCCUCCCCCUCACCUCCAGCCUAUAAAGGGGCCUCCGCUCCACCACCAAGCUUCCUGGCCAACUCCCUCGCUCCUGAGCUUCAGUGCCGCUCCCGCAGUCUCCCGCCCGCCGCUGUGGAGCCGCCUCAGCCCGAGAUCGUGCAGUGACCGCGGAGGAGCCCGACAAGAAGCUUAAAGCCUAGUACCAUGAGCCGAAGCCUGAAGACCAGUACCGUGAGCAAGAACUCCCGGCCGACUUUGAGGACGAGGAAGACCCGGACUUCGUUGUCAAGGAUUUCGAGUAGGAGGUCGCUUCUGCACCCAACGCUGCCUGUGGUGUUGGUCUUUGCAUAAUGCUUCCGCUGCUGUGUAGUCCCAAGUGCUGUCAAGAAUGACAGUAGCUUGGGUCGCUGCUGUUGUUUAUUUACUUAUCAUUUCGACGUGGCUUUCGCGCC